rnacentral:rRNA from 1 species
GAUGAACGCUGGCGGCGUGCUUAACACAUGCAAGUCGAACGGACUUUUAAUGAAACCUAGUGAUUUAAAAGUUAGUGGCGGACGGGUGAGUAACGCGUGGGUAACCUGCCGUAUGCUGGGGGACAACAGUUAGAAAUGACUGCUAAUACCGCAUAAGCGCGCAGUAUCGCAUGAUACAGUGUGAAAAACUGAGGUGGCAUACGAUGGACCCGCGUCUGAUUAGCUGGUUGGUGAGGUAACGGCUCACCAAGGCGACGAUCAGUAGCCGGCCUGAGAGGGUGAACGGCCACAUUGGGACUGAGACACGGCCCAA